AGAGUUUGAUCCUGGCUCAGGAUGAACGCUGGCGGUAUGCCUAACACAUGCAAGUCGUACGAGAGUUUUUAACUCUAGUGGCGGACGGGUGAGUAACACGUGAGAAUUUGCCUUUAGGAGGGGGAUAACAAUUGGAAACGAAUGCUAAUACCCCAUAUGCUUUUGAGUGAAACGGAUUUAUCCGCCUAGAGAGAAGCUCGCGGCUGAUUAGCUUGUUGGUAAGGUAAGAGCUUACCAAGGCGACGAUCAGUAUCUGGUUUGAGAGGACGAUCAGACACACUGGAACUGAGACACGGUCCAGACUCCUACGGGAGGCAGCAGUGGGGAAUUUUCCGCAAUGGGCGAAAGCCUGACGGAGCAAUACCGCGUGAGGGAAGACUGCCUAUGGGUUGUAAACCUCUUUUUUCAGGGAGGAAUAAAUGACGUGUACCUGAAGAAUAAGCAUCGGCUAACUCCGUGCCAGCAGCCGCGGUAAGACGGAGGAUGCAAGUGUUAUCCGGAAUCACUGGGCGUAAAGCGUCUGUAGGUGGCCUAAUAAGUCAACUGUUAAAUCUUGAGGCUCAACUUCAAAAUCGCAGUCGAAACUAUUAGACUAGAGUAUAGUAGAGGUAAAGGGAAUUUCCAGUGGAGCGGUGAAAUGCGUAGAUAUUGGAAAGAACACCGAUGGCGAAAGCACUUUACUGGGCUAUUACUAACACUCAGAGACGAAAGCUAGGGUAGCAAAUGGGAUUAGAUACCCCAGUAGUCCUAGCCGUAAACAAUGGAUACUAGAUGUUGAACAGAUCGACCUGUGCAGUAUCAAAGCUAACGCGUUAAGUAUCCCGCCUGGGAAGUAUGCUCGCAAGAGUGAAACUCA
rnacentral:rRNA from 1 species